CUCUUCGGUUACUACCCGGAGACGAUGACAUUAGCUGCAGAAUAAGCACCGGCUAACUCUGUGCCAGCAGCCGCGGUAAUACAGAGGGUGCAAGCGUUAAUCGGAAUUACUGGGCGUAAAGCGAGCGUAGGUGGCUUGAUAAGUCAGAUGUGAAAGCCCCGGGCUUAACCUGGGAACUGCAUCUGAAACUGUUAGGCUAGAGUAGGUGAGAGGGAAGUAGAAUUUCAGGUGUAGCGGUGAAAUGCGUAGAGAUCUGAAGGAAUACCGAUGGCGAAGGCAGCUUCCUGGCAUCAUACUGACACUGAGGCUCGAAAGCGUGGGUAGCAAACAGGAUUAGAUACCCUGGUAGUCCACGCCGUAAACGAUGUC
rnacentral:rRNA from 1 species